CAGUAGAAAGCAAAAUAUAGGUUCAGGAUGGAAAGCAAAUCUAGUGCAUGUGAAACCUUUACUUGACAUAGUUGCUCAGUGAAGCAGGUUGUUCUCAUACAGAGUAAGGAAAGAUCUUGUUCGCCGUGAACAGUUCGCGUUUUGAAUUUGUUUUUUUGCUGUUUCUGUUAGUUUGAGGUGAUAAAAUUUUUACAGAAGAAAUUAUGACCUCCAACACAUACAAAACAAAAUAAAAGAAAUGCCCAUUCCUUAUAUUUUCUGUCCACAUAUCCUUAGCCAGCCAAAAAGUUGACGACAGUUAUUAUGUGAAUCGUCUCUCCAUGAUAUUGGAAACUAAACCAUGGGAAUAUAACUACCAAAGAAUAGGUGCAUAAACAUUGAUUCAUUGAACGUCAUCAAUAAGUUUUUUUUUAUUUAUAACCGAGUUAAAGUUUAUACAGUAACUAAGCAGGCUUUAACAUUUGCGAUGGGGGCGUACUUUUGAACGCCGAAGAAGUGAGGUUUUUUAGGGGGGGACAGAGGGCAUGCUCUCCCUAAAAAAAUGUUAAGUAUUCAUAGCGACAGUGUUUCUGGGUGCGAUUUCUGAAAGUUAUUUGUUACAGGAAAAACGUGAUUUUUAUUGUUUACUUAAGCCUAACCACUUUCCAGUGUAACGUAAAUUCCAGUGUUUCUGUGGGUAAAGGUGAGAAAGAAAGUUUUGAUGGUGAGAACGAAAAGUCAAGGGUGAGGUUGAAAUGUUGAGGGUGAGAAUAAAAGUUGUGAGUUGAAAUAAAAAUCAAGGGUGAGGAUGAAAUUUUGAGGAUGAGAAUAAAAGUUGUGAGUUGAAAUAAAAAGUCAAGGGUGAGGAUGAAAUGUUGAGGAUGAGAAUAAAAGUUGUGAGUUGAAAUAAAAAGUCAAAGGUGAGGGUGAGAAUAAAAGU